CCCCUUUUCUAUUUCUCUCUUGCAUUCUCUCACUCUGCCUCCCCUCUCUCGAUGAUCUCUCUAACUCUCUCUCCCCGCUGCCCUACCUCCCACCAUAUCCCUCUUUCAUCUCUCCAUCUCUAACCAUCUCCCUAUUUAAUCUCUCUCUAUCUCACUAUCUCACCGUCGAUCGAAUCGAAGGAGUAAAAGCAGCCGUUUUUAAAGACUCCAUUUUAAUUGAAGACCCAUCUUGGAGAAAUACACCUCCGAAGUAAGAAAGGCAGCUUCAAUUCGCAGCUCAAUUGGUUCGAUUGAAUUUCUGGUUUUCAAUUUGUUCAAUUGGGGUUUAGGGUUUCUGUUCACAGCUUCAUUUCUCGGUCUCCAUCUUGAAGAUAUGCAGAUCUUCUGGUUCAAGUUUCAGAAAGCAAAGAGAGUUAUAUACAGAAUUGUGCCCUUCUUGUUGGACUAUAGACUUCAAGAACUGUGCCCUUCUACGUUAAAUUUUGUUGCUCAGACCUUAACAACUCUAUAUUUAGCUUGAUCUCUCCGUUCUAAGUUGCAACAUGCUGUGCGAAAAAGGGGGCUGCAAAGACACACAAUGCAACUUAUUUUGAGGAUGAAAUUAAUGAAGUGUGACUUCAGACUUUCAGCUACAUUGAAACUUCAUGUAAAAGCGAUAUUAGUUGGUUUUGAUUUUAGUAGAAACUACAUUGAAGCAAUAUAUCUUUUGGUAAUUUGUAACUUGGAAAUUUAUUAUAUUAUUCUAGUA